UACGUAGGGGGCGAGCGUUGUCCGGAAUCAUUGGGCGUAAAGCGCGUGUAGGCGGCUCGAUAAGUCUGCUGUGAAAGUCCAGGGCUCAACCCUGGAAUGCCGGUGGAAACUGUCGAGCUUGAGUCCGGAAGAGGCGAGUGGAAUUCCUGGUGUAGCGGUGAAAUGCGCAGAUAUCAGGAGGAACACCAAUUGCGAAGGCAGCUCGCUGGGACGUAACUGACGCUGAGACGCGAAAGCGUGGGGAGCAAACAGG
rnacentral:rRNA from 1 species